GGACGAACGCUGGCGGCGUGCUUAACACAUGCGAGUCGAACGGAAAGGCCCUGCUUUUGUGGGGUGCUCGAGUGGCGAACGGGUGAGUAACACGUGAGUAACCUGCCCUUGACUUUGGGAUAACUUCAGGAAACUGGGGCUAAUACCGGAUAGGAGCUCCUGCUGCAUGGUGGGGGUUGGAAAGUUUCGGCGGUUGGGGAUGGACUCGCGGCUUAUCAGCUUGUUGGUGGGGUAGUGGCUUACCAAGGCUUUGACGGGUAGCCGGCCUGAGAGGGUGACCGGCCACAUUGGGACUGAGAUACGGCCCAGACUCCUACGGGAGGCAGCAGUGGGGAAUAUUGCACAAUGGGCGGAAGCCUGAUGCAGCAACGCCGCGUGCGGGAUGACGGCCUUCGGGUUGUAAACCGCUUUCGCCUGUGACGAAGCGUGAGUGACGGUAAUGGGUAAAGAAGCACCGGCUAACUACGUG
rnacentral:rRNA from 1 species